UUUAAAAGGAGUUUUUUUGAAGCUUUGUAAUUACAUUGAAAGUAUAUUUGUUUCCUUGAAAACAAUUUUUUGAAAAGUGAAUAAUAAUAUAAUACAGCUUUCAAAUUACUUUAUGCUGUUACUUUAUUUCUAUUGUAUUCACAUGUGAAAGUAUGUGAUCAGUUGUUGCUGUAUCAGAGAUAUUAGAGAUUCUUUAUUAGUUGGGCAUUCUUUAUGACCUUUUCUAUAAAAGAGUAAGGACAUUAAAAUGUAAGAUGCAUGAUAAAAAUAUAAG
rnacentral:lncRNA from 1 species